UGAACACCUCCCCUGUUCUUCUUCUCUCCUGAGCCAUAUUCUUUAAAUAUAUAUAUUUAAAUAUAUAAAAAUAUAUUUAAAUAUAUAAAAAAAUAUAAAGAAGAAGAACAGGGGAGGUGUUCA
rnacentral:miRNA from 1 species